GUUAGCCAAAUAGUGGAUAAAUUAAGCAAGGGAAACAGACAGCUCCCCUCUCGGUGAACUUUUUUCCCCCAGCUAACCUGCUCCACACCCACUCAGGUGGGAGCAUCUCCCGCCCCGUGGCUGUCACCUCUCAGGGGGGUUGUCACCCGCCUCUUCCCCCAGCCACCACCACGACCACCCGAGGCGACCGGGUGAGGAUGGAGCCCUCUGGCUCCCAGGCCAUCGGUCCGGUGAGGAGCUGCUCUCGUCUCGCCUGCCCAGCCUGAAAUUUGAACUCCUGCACCCCCCGCCCUGCCCUCCCCCCACCCAGCACCCUCACCCUGAGAGGGUCGCACGAUUCUGGCAGACCCGGCACGUGCCCUUGACGGGGCCGGAGACUCUUAACGGUGGGGCCAGAGUUGUUCUUUCCUGAAAAUGGCCCUAGAGAUUUAGGGCAGGAUCUGCAGCGGGACCCCUCACCCCAGACCUCCUUCUCUUGGCUUGUUUCUGGCCUGAGCCACACCUUACGGGGACCAGCUCCAUCUUCGGGGGCAAGGUAAGAGGCCUUCUCUAUGGCGAAGCGGGCGUGAGGGGUCCUCCAAGCAAUGGCCAUUGCCCCAGGCUCGGUGCCGCAAAUAGGUCUGUGCCAGGUCUCAUGGACAGACACAGCCUCAUGGGUCAUCAGGCUACAAAGUGUGUGCCAGGGGAGGCCACCGGUGUUGGGCAGAGCCCAGGGAGCAUCACCAGGAAGGCAGUCUGCGGAAGAGCUGAAGGAGGUCCUGAGGACGGUCACCGGGCUGUCUCCUCCCACUGUCCCAUUCUCCGGUCCAGCCUGGAUGCAUAGACGGUGCUCGGAAGAAAUGCGCGACCCUAACGCGCAGUUCCUGGGCCAGGGGCUUCCCAGAGCAGAUGGUCCGCCCAUGGGCUCAUUGUUCUAAAGUAUUUCUUUAGUAUUAUUAAGAUGGUGUCGUGUCAAGAAAGAAGAAAAUGAAAAAAAAAUUGGGCACUCACCCAUUGCCUGAGCAAGUACCAUCUUCCUGCCUGCAAAUGGUCCUGGGACUCAGCUCAGCACACACAAAACGUCAAAUUUGCAGGCUUCUGUGUGCAAGUCUUGAAUUUGGGGGAUAUAACGGUAAAUAAAAUAAAUAUGUCCCUGCCCCAGUGGAACGCACAGUUUAUGGGGAGACACACACUGGCUAACAGCACAUUGUCAGUGAAUAUUUACUGAGCAUCUACUGUGUACCAGCCUGUCUGCUGGCGGCUGGGGACAUCCAAGUGA